UACGAAGGAUCCAAGCGAUGUCCGGAUUUACUGGGUUUAAAGGGUGCGUAGGCGGACUUAUAAGUCAGUGGUGAAAGCCUUCAGCUUAACUGAAGAACUGCCAUUGAAACUGUAAGUCUCGAGUUCGGUUGAGGUCAUUGGAAUGUAACAUGUAGCGGUGAAAUGCAUAGAUAUGUUACAGAACACCGAUUGCGAAGGCAGAUGACUAAACCGAAACUGACGCUGAGGCACGAAAGCGUGGGGAUCAAACAGG
rnacentral:rRNA from 1 species